rnacentral:rRNA from 1 species
UGGGGAAUUUUGGACAAUGGGCGCAAGCCUGAUCCAGCCAUGCCGCGUGCGGGAAGAAGGCCUUCGGGUUGUAAACCGCUUUUGUCAGGGAAGAAAUCUUCUGAGUUAAUACCUCGGGAGGAUGACGGUACCUGAAGAAUAAGCACCGGCUAACUACGUGCCAGCAGCCGCGGUAAUACGUAGGGUGCAAGCGUUAAUCGGAAUUACUGGGCGUAAAGCGUGCGCAGGCGGUUUUGUAAGACAGAGGUGAAAUCCCCGGGCUCAACCUGGGAACUGCCUUUGUGACUGCAAGGCUUGAGUGCGGCAGAGGGGGGAUGGAAUUCCGCGUGUAGCAGUGAAAUGCGUAGAUAUGCGGAGGAACACCGAUGGCGAAGGCAAUCCCCUGGGCCUGCACUGACGCUCAUGCACGAAAGCGUGGGGAGCAAACAGGAUUAGAUACCCUGGUAGUCCACGCCCUAAACGAUGUCAACUGGUUGUUGGGAAGGUUCCUUCUCAGUAACGUAGCUAACGCGUGAAGUUGACCGCCUGGGGAGUACGGCCGCAAGGUUGAAACUUAAAUGAAUUGACGGGGUCAUAGCUGUUUCCU